CCUACGGGAGGCAGCAGUAGGGAAUAUUGCUCAAUGGGGGAAACCCUGACGCAGCAACGCCGCGUGGGGGAUGAAGGUUUUAGGAUUGUAAACCCCUUUUGUUAGAGAAGAUUAUGACGGUAUCUAACGAAUAAGCACCGGCUAAUACCGUGUCAGCAGCCGCGGCAAUACGGAGGGUGCAAGCGUUACGCGGAAUUACUGGGCGUAAAGAGUGCGUAGGCGGGGUUAUAAGUCAGAUGUGAAAUCCUGUAGCUUAACUACAGAACUGCAUUUGAAACUGGUACACUGGAGUGUGGGAGAGGUAGGUGGAAUUCUAGGUGUAGGGGUAAAAUCCGUAGAGAUCAAGAGGAAUACUCAUGGCGAAGGCGACCUGCUGGAACAUUACUGACGCUGAUGCACGAAAGCGUGGGGAGCAAACAGGAUUAGAUACCCCAGUAGUC
rnacentral:rRNA from 1 species